rnacentral:rRNA from 1 species
AAUGCCUGUUAUCAAGGUUUUCGUUGGGAAGCUAUUGGAGCGAUCAUCG